AACGAACGCUGGCGGCGUGCCUAACACAUGCAAGUCGAGGGAGAAAAGGGGCUUCGGCUCCUGAGUAAACCGGCGCACGGGUGAGUAACACGUAGGUAACGUACCCUUGAGUCUGGGAUAACCAGUCGAAAGACUGGCUAAUACCAGAUACGACUGCGGGAGCUCAGGCUUCUGCAGUGAAAGAUGGCCUCUACUUGUAAGCUAUCACUCAUGGAUCGGCCUGCGCACCAUUAGCUAGUUGGUGAGGUAAAGGCUCACCAAGGCUGAGAUGGUUAGCUGGUCUGAGAGGAUGGCCAGCCACACUGGGGACUGAGACACGGCCCAGACUCCUACGGGAGUCAGCAGGU
rnacentral:rRNA from 1 species